rnacentral:lncRNA from 1 species
CAGAGUGCUAAGCUGUGGACCACCUGUCCCCAGGUGCUAAAAUUCAAAUGCAUGUGGUACGCGAUGCAAAGGCCAAAUGAGUUUAGUGGAGGCGACUAUUAUAAACCAACCAAACGUCUGGCCUUCACCAGAGGUGUUUGCGGUGGACUUGAGGGUUUCCUCUGCACACCACCUGCUGUGGGGACAGCCUGUGGCGUUGAGGUUCCUCAGAGAGGGCCGUGGUGACGACCGAGGGCGGCAGGAGGGCCUGGAGUGAGCCAGGCCACUUCCCGGUUGUGAGCCCGUGGGGCAAGUUGCUUCAUCUCUCAGACCCUCAGUUUCCUUAAGUGCAAACGGGAGGGACGGCUGCCUUUCCUACAAGACGGCUGAGAGCAUGCGAGUGAAAGUACCUGGCACAGGUGCUAUCAUCUGAUGAAAGGAAAUUCUCUGCUUUACCCUUGCAAUAUAUAUAAACACACUAUGGGAUUCACUCGCAGCCCCCAAAUAUUUGAUAUUUUCUUUUGAGUUCAGUCAUUCAGUCGUAUCCGACUCUGCGACCUCUAUGCACUCUAGCCCGCCAGGCUCCUCUGUCCAUGGGAUUCUCCAGGGAAGAACAUUGGAGUGGGUUGCCAUUGUCUUCUCCAGGGGAUCUUCCCAGGAAUUGAACCCACAUCGCGUGCAUUGCAGGCAGAUUCUCUACCGCUGAGCCACCGGGGAAGCCCGAUACUUUCUUAAUAUCACUAAAUAUAUCUGCAGUAAGACCUACAAAGGAGUGGAGCGAGCUGCCUUCCCGGGCUCCCCUUUCAUCUCCAGGCCAGGUGCUGUGGGAGCCUUAAUGGGGUGUAAGGAGAUGUUCUUGCUCAAACUGGAAAAACCCGAUGGGCAGCCACUCGCCCUGGCAGGUUUCCAGCCUCCUGUGCAGGACUCCAGGGCCAGCUGAGGCGCCCCGCCAGCCCCGAGGCCAGGACGACCCGGGGCCAAACCAGAAACCCCGUGAUGCUGUCUGCAACCGCUUGGCCUUCCUCCUCGCGCUCAGCCCUGGCCAAGGUGCCCACGGCCUCCCCGAGCCCUCCCCCGGCCAGGGGGGCCAGGCUCCCACAGAGAAGGGAGGUCUAGCGGCUCUGCGUCCACCUCAGGUCCUUCCCUCCGCACACAUUAAGGCCCACUCUGGGGCCAGGCAGAAAGGGAGACCAUCCCCAGGGCUGUGUCUGCAUCCUGGUGACCAAUUCAGGGUUUCUCAGCGAGAACCGCCUGACCUAUGA